rnacentral:rRNA from 1 species
AUUGAACGCUGGCGGCAUGCCUUACACAUGCAAGUCGAACGGUAACAGGUCUUCGGGUGCUGACGAGUGGCGAACGGGUGAGUAAUACAUCGGAACGUGCCUAGUAGUGGGGGAUAACUACUCGAAAGAGUGGCUAAUACCGCAUGAGAUCUGCGGAUGAAAGCAGGGGAUCGCAAGACCUUGUGCUACUAGAGCGGCCGAUGGCAGAUUAGGUAGUUGGUGGGAUAAAAGCUUACCAAGCCGACGAUCUGUAGCUGGUCUGAGAGGACGAUCAGCCACACUGGGACUGAGAAACGGCCCAGACUCCUACGGGAGGCAGCAGUGGGGAAUUUUGGACAAUGGGCGCAAGCCUGAUCCAGCAAUGCCGCGUGCAGGAUGAAGGCCUUCGGGUUGUAAACUGCUUUUGUACGGAACGAAAAGCCCCGGGUUAAUACCCUGGGGUCAUGACGGUACCGUAAGAAUAAGCACCGGCUAACUACGUGCCAGCCGCCGCCGUAA